UACGUAGGGUGCAAGCGUUGUCCGGAAUUAUUGGGCGUAAAGCGCGUGUAGGCGGUCCGGUAAGUCCGCUGUGAAAGUCGGGGGCUCAACCCUCGGAUGCCGGUGGAUACUGUCGGGCUUGAGUACGGAAGAGGCGAGUGGAAUUCCUGGUGUAGCGGUGAAAUGCGCAGAUAUCAGGAGGAACACCGGUGGCGAAGGCGGGUCUCUGGGCCGAUACUGACGCUGAGGAGCGAAAGCGUGGGGAGCGAACAGG
rnacentral:rRNA from 1 species